UACGUAGGGGGCAAGCGUUGUCCGGAUUUAUUGGGCGUAAAGGGUGCGUAGGCGGCGGAGUAAGUUGGGUGUGAAAUCCCGGGGCUUAACCUCGGAAUUGCAUUCAAUACUGCUUCGCUAGAGUACUGGAGAGGAGGCUGGAAUUUACGGUGUAGCAGUGAAAUGCGUAGAUAUCGUAAGGAAGGCCGGUGGCGAAAGCGAGCCUCUGGACAGUUACUGACGCUGAUGCACGAAGGCCAGGGGAGCAAACGGG
rnacentral:rRNA from 1 species